rnacentral:misc_RNA from 1 species
CCGUUGGUGAACCAGCGGAGGGAUCAUUACAGAGUUGCAAAACUCCCAAACCAUUGUGAACGUUACCUAUCCCGUUGCUUCGGCGGGCGGCCCGGGCCCCGCGCCCGGCGCCCCCCGGCCCCCCGUGGGCGCCCGCCGGAGGUAAACCAAACUCUUGAAUUGCAUGGCCUCUCUGAGUCUUCUGUACUGAAUAAGUCAAAACUUUCAACAACGGAUCUCUUGGUUCUG